rnacentral:rRNA from 1 species
CGUCUAUAUACGUAUAGCAUAUCAAUAAGCGGAGGAAAAGAAACUAACAAGGAUUCCCUUAGUAACGGCGAGUGAAGCGGGAAGAGCUCAAAUUUGAAAUCUUCAAGGUUCUACCUUGACGAAUUGUAGUUUAAAGAAGUGUUUUCUGUUAGAGGAGUAGCAAAAGUUCCUUGGAAUGGGACAUCAUAGAGGGUGAGAAUCCCGUAUUUGGUUAUUCUUUCUAGCUUUGUGAUACACUUUCAAAGAGUCGGAUUGUUUGGGAAUGCAGUCCAAAAUGGGUGGUAAAUUUCAUCUAAAGCUAAAUAUUGGCGAGAGACCGAUAGCGAACAAGUACCGUGAGGGAAAGAUGAAAAGAACUUUGAAAAGAGAGUUAAACAGUACGUGAAAUUGUCAAAAGGGAAGCGUUUGACACCAGUGUUGUUUUUCCGAAAAUCAAUUAAGAGUGGCUUGAUUUUGUGUUGUAUUGACCUUAUCAGCUUUCUUCACUCUUUUUCGAGUCUUUCUUAAUGCACUUUUCGGUUAACAAGUCAACAUCAAUUUCUUUUGUUGUAAAAGGGUAUUUGGAAGGUGGCUUUCUUUUCGGAGAAAGUGUUUAUAGCCUUAUACCUCUACAAUCGGAGAGAUUGAGGUCUGCAGCGUAGAUCCUUCGGGGUUAGAUACACUUGUGCUAAGUUAUAGCCUUUUCAUAGACAACUUGUUGACUAUAGCUUCGGUCAUGUAGCUUACCCGCUUAGUGCUAUUUUACCUACGCUUAGGAUGUUGAGUCAUCACACAUCUCU